ensembl:lincRNA
GAUACGCACCGCGCGCGGUGAGCUGGAGGAGGAGAAGCUCCGCGUGCAGCGGCUCAAGGUGGGGGCGCCGCUGGAUCGGAGACGAAGCGGGGUGUGCCUGCGAGUCGGUUCGCCGGGCCUUAGGUCUUCUUCCAAUGGGGGGGCGUCAUGCCCAGUCUUGGUGGAAGGGGUGCGGUGACAGUGGGGACACUUGUCCCUCCCUGAGAAGAGUCUGGGACCGUGAGGUCUUGUCCCAGUUUGGGGGAGUCCCAGUUCGGGGGUGUCUUAGGGUGAGCUUUUGUUCAGGGGGUCCCAUGGGGAAGGGCAUUGGCUUCACCUCUGGGAGUGUCUGCCCGUCCCUUUGGAAGGGUGGGGGGCAGGGCCGUCUGUCCGGCCGGGGUCGUGGGCAUUGAGGGUGGGCGAGGAGGCCGGGAGUGUCUUUCACCUGGCAGUGCUAGGGAGCCCUGCAGCGUGCGCCCUGGGCCGCCUGUCUCCGGAUGGUGUCCGCAGGUCCGAGGGCACCCUCGCGGGGCGGGGCUGAGCCUAGCGCGGGCUUCUUUCGUGCCCAGAGGAAAUCCCUGCGCGAGCGCUGGCUGAUGGACGGCGCCGCCGAAGGACCUAAGCAGCACGGGGACCCCACUGCCCAGGACCCUGAGUCGGCGGAGGGCCAGGCCCAGGCCCGUAUCCGAAACCUGGAGGACAGCCUGUUCACACUGCAGUCCCAGCUCCAGCUGCUGCAAAGCGCCUCCACAGGUGCCCAGCACCGGCCCCCAGGCAGGCCCUCCUGGCGCAGACAGGGUCACCGUCCUCUUUCCCAGCCCACCAUGGAGGCAAGUCCUGCAGGCCAGGCAGAUGUGGACAAGAGAGCUUCCCUGCCGGUGGGGCCCAUGGGUUUGUCCCCAGAGUCCCCUUCUGAGCCCAGGGAGUGGGCCCCAAGGCAAGUCCCUGGGGCAGGGGCGUCCCCUCAAGAAGUCAAUGGCCCCUGCUCAGGGCCCAGCCUUCCUCCAGAGCAGCAGCAGAGCCUGGGGACGGGCACCAUGGCCAAGGGGAGUGUGGUGGAGGCCAAAGGGGGGGACAUGGUAGAGGUGGUGUGGGAGGGGCUCCAGGACCCCAAGGACUGUGCCACGGGUGCCACUGGCCCCGUGCUGGAGGCCAGGGUGGAGCAGGUGGUGCUGGAGGCCAUCGGGGACAGGCAGGGGCCGGGCAGCCCCGAGCCCCCCGCCUGGGUGAGGGAGGACAGGGGCAUCGUGGAGGUGGUCUGGGAGGGGCUGGGGGGCAGUGACCACGAGGCCCUGGAGGAGGUGGGCGGUGGUGAACCAGAGCUCCAGGAGCGCCUGGGAGGCACGGGGUCCAGAGACAGGGAGCAUGGCAGGCAGGGGGAUCCCGGAAGGAAUGAGGGCUCCUUCAUCUGGGUGGAGAGGGUGACGGUCAGUGAGGACUGGGAGGAGCUGCUGAUGGAGGGUUUGGAGGGGCCCCCGGGGCCUGGCAGGGAAGCUGGUGUGGAGGGCCCGCCAGGGACCCGUGGGGGAGGGGGUGGGGAGAGGAGAGGGGAGGGGCCUGCAGGAGCAGGGGAGGAGCGGGGCGAGGAGGGGCUGGGGACAGGCGGGGAAGGGAGGCAGAGGGAAAGCCGGGCGUCCUCAGAGCCGGAGGGGACAGCAAGCGAACAGGACUUGGGAGUCGAGAGGGAGGCAACGGAGGGGCCUCUGAGGGCAGAGGGGGAACACAGGGAGGAGAAGCCCGGAGGAGAGGUGGAGGCGCCACUGGGAGUGGACGAGAAGGGAGGAGAGGAGCGGACAGAGGAGAAAGCUGAGGGCCCGUUGGGAUCAGGGAGGGUGGGUGAGGAAGGGUCUCUGGGAGGAGGGAGAGGAGCUGGGGAAGAGCGAGGGGCAGAGGGGAUGGAAGGCGGGCAGCCAGAGGAGAGAGGGGGCGAGGAGGAGCCAGGGGUCGCUGAGGAGCCCGUGGUGACAGGAAGAAAAGAAGGCGAGGAGCCGUUGAGGGGAGAGGAGCCCCGUGGGGCCCAGGACCUGCAGAAUGGAACAGACCAGAGGGAAGCUGGGGAGGGAAGGGAAUCCCAGGCUGCGGCAGGGAGCGAGGCGGGCGCACCCCUCGGGGUCCUGCAGGAACCGACGCCAGAGUUGCAGCCCCC